AGUGAACGCUGGCGGUAGGCCUAACACAUGCAAGUCGAACGGCAGCACAGUAAGAGCUUGCUCUUACGGGUGGCGAGUGGCGGACGGGUGAGGAAUACAUCGGAAUCUACUUUUUCGUGGGGGAUAACGUAGGGAAACGUACGCUAAUACCGCAUACGACCUACGGGUGAAAGCAGGGGAUCUUCGGACCUUGCGCGAUUGAAUGAGCCGAUGUCGGAUUAGCUAGUUGGCGGGGUAAAGGCCCACCAAGGCGACGAUCCGUAGCUGGUCUGAGAGGAUGAUCAGCCACACUGGAACUGAGACACGGUCCAGACUCCUACGGGAGGCAGCAGUGGGGAAUAUUGGACAAUGGGCGCAAGCCUGAUCCAGCCAUACCGCGUGGGUGAAGAAGGCCUUCGGGUUGUAAAGCCCUUUUGUUGGGAAAGAAAAGCAGUAGGUUAAUACCCCGCUGUUCUGACGGUACCCAAAGAAUAAGCACCGGCUAACUUCGUG
rnacentral:rRNA from 1 species